rnacentral:rRNA from 1 species
GCGAAAGAGGUGCGCGGUGCCGGGGUAAUAGGUAGGUGGCAAGCGUUGUCCGGGUUCAGAUGGCGUAAAGCGCGCGCAGGCGGGCUGCUACGUCUGGGGUGAAACCCCGGGGCUCAACCCCGGGACUGCCUUGUAUACGGGAAGACUUGAGGGUCGGAGAGGCAAGGGGAAUUCCACGGGUAGCGGUGAAAUGCGUAGAGAUGUGGAGGAACACCUGUGGCGAAGGCGCCUUGCUGGCCGAUUUCUGACGCUGAGGCGCGAAAGCGUGGGGAGCAAACAGGAUUAGAUACCCGGGUAGUC